GAGGAAUAUUGGACAAUGGAGGCAACUCUGAUCCAGCCAUGCCGCGUGCAGGAAGACGGCCCUAUGGGUUGUAAACUGCUUUUAUACGGGAAAAAACGUCAGUACGUGUACUGACCUGACGGUACUGUAAGAAUAAGGAUCGGC
rnacentral:rRNA from 1 species